CCUCCAGAUGUUUUGGGACUACAAUUCCCAUCAUCCCUGACCACUGGACCUGUUAGCUAGGGAUGAUGGGAGUUGUAGUCCAAAACAGCUGGAGG
rnacentral:miRNA from 1 species